GAUGAACGCUAGCUACAGGCUUAACACAUGCAAGUCGAGGGGAAACGAUAGAGAAAGCUUGCUUUUUCUAGGCGUCGACCGGCGCACGGGUGAGUAACGCGUAUCCAACCUGCCCAUCACUUGGGGAUAACCUUGCGAAAGUAAGACUAAUACCCAAUGACGUCUCUAGAAGACAUCUGAAAGGGAUUAAAGAUUUAUCGGUGAUGGAUGGGGAUGCGUCUGAUUAGCUUGUUGGCGGGGUAACGGCCCACCAAGGCGACGAUCAGUAGGGGUUCUGAGAGGAAGGUCCCCCACAUUGGAACUGAGACACGGGCCAAACUCCUACGGGAGGCAGCAGUGAGGAAUAUUGGUCAAUGGACGAGAGUUUGAACCAGCCAAGUAGCGUGCAGGAUGACGGCCCUAUGGGUUGUAAACUGCUUUUAUAAGGGAAUAAAGUGAGAGUCGUGACUCUUUUUGCAUGUACCUUAUGAAUAAGGACCGGCUAAUUCCGUGCCAGCCGCCGCCGUAA
rnacentral:rRNA from 1 species